rnacentral:rRNA from 1 species
ACACAUGCAAGUCGAACGCGAAAGUCCUUCGGGAUGAGUAAAGUGGCGCACGGGUGAGUAACACGUAGGUGACCUGCCUUUUAGAGGGGAAUAACCAGAAGAAAUUUUGGCUAAUGCCGCAUACGAAGUACAAAUCUAAGAGUAGUACUUGAAAGGAUGCCUCUGCAUAUGCAUUCACUAAAAGAUGGGCCUGCGGUACAUUAGCUUGUUGGUGGGGUAAAGGCCUACCAAGGCAACGAUGUAUAUCCGGUCUGAGAGGAUGAUCGGACACACUGGAACUGAGACACGGUCCAGACUCCUACGGGAGGCAGCAGUGGGGAAUAUUGCGCAAUGGGGGAAACCCUGACGCAGCAACGCCGCGUGAGUGAGGAAGGACUUCGGUCUGUAAAGCUCUGUUAAUGUGGAAAAAUGGUAGCUGGUCUAAUAGGCCGGCUAUUUGAUGGUACACAUAGAGGAAGCACCGGCUAACUUCGUGCCAGCAGCCGCGGUAAUACGAAGGGUGCAAGCGUUGUUCGGAUUUAUUGGGCGUAAAGCGCGCGUAGGCGGACCUGUAAGUCAGAUGUGAAAUCUCGGGGCUCAACCUCGAAACUGCGUCUGAAACUGCAGGUCUAGAAUCUUGGAGGGGGAAGGGGAAUUUCGCAUGUAGGGGUAAAAUCCGUAGAUAUGCGAAGGAACACCAGAGGCGAAGGCGCCUUCCUGGACAAGUAUUGACGCUGAGGCGCGAAAGCGUGGGGAUCAAACAGGAUUAGAUACCCUGGUAGUCCACGCUGUAAACGAUGAAUACUAGGUAUUGGAGGAUUUGACCCCUACAGUGCCGUAGCUAACGCGUUAAGUAUUCCGCCUGGGANUACGGUCGCAGACUAAAACUCAAAGGA